rnacentral:rRNA from 1 species
CCUACGGGAGGCAGCAGUAGGGAAUCUUUCACAAUGGGCGAAAGCCUGAUGGUGCGACGCCGCGUGGGUGAAGAAGGCCCUCGGAUUUGUAAACCCCGUUGAUAGAGGAGUAAAUGCAUGAGAGUGUCUCUUCACGUUUCGACUGUAUCAAACCUGAGAGCCACGGCGAAAUACGUGACAGAAGCCGCGGGAAUACGGAGGUGGCAAGCGUUAUCCGGAUUUAUUGGGCGUAAGGGGAGCGCAGGCGGGUUGUUAAGUCUGAAGUGAAAGCCUGCGGCUCAACCGGAGUAGUGCAUAUGAGACUGGGAGACUUGAGUACAGGAGAGGAAAGCGGAACUCGAGGUGUAGCGGUGAAAUGCGUAGAUAUAUGGAAGAACACCAGUGGCGAAAGCGGCUUACUAGACUGUAACUGACGCUGAGGUUCGAAAGCGUGGGUAGCAAACAGGAUUAGAUACCCUUGUAGUC